CCUACGGGAGGCAGCAGUGGGGAAUAUUGCACAAUGGGGGAAACCCUGAUGCAGCAACGCCGCGUGAAGGAAGACGGUUUUAGGAUUGGAAACUUCCGUUCGUAGUGAAGCAUAAUGAGGGUAGCUAAGGAGCAAGCCAAGGCUAACUCAGUGCCAGCAGCCGCGGUAAUACGUAGGUGGCAAGCGUUGUCCGGAAUUACUGGGGGUAAAGGGAGCGCAGGCGGGAAGCCCAGUUAGCUGUGAAAACUACGGGCUUAACUUGUAGACUGCAGUUGAAACUGGUUUUCUUGAGUGAAGUAGGGGUUGGCGGAAUUCCGAGUGUAGCGGUGAAAUGCGUAGAUAUUCGGAGGAAAACCGGUGGCGAAGGCGGCCAACUGGGCUUUAACUGACGCUGAGGCUCGAAAGUGUGGGGAGCAAACAGGAUUAGAGACCCCAGUAGUC
rnacentral:rRNA from 1 species